rnacentral:rRNA from 1 species
AGGGAAUCUUCCACAAUGGACGCAAGUCUGAUGGAGCAACGCCGCGUGAGUGAAGAAGGUCUUAGGAUCGUAAAGCUCUGUUGUUGGUGAAGAAGGAUAGAGGCAGUAACUGGUCUUUAUUUGACGGUAAUCAACCAGAAAGUCACGGCUAACUACGUGCCAGCAGCCGCGGUAAUACGUAGGUGGCAAGCGUUGUCCGGAUUUAUUGGGCGUAAAGCGAGCGCAGGCGGAAUGAUAAGUCUGAUGUGAAAGCCCACGGCUCAACCGUGGAACUGCAUCGGAAACUGUCAUUCUUGAGUGCAGAAGAGGAGAGUGGAACUCCAUGUGUAGCGGUGGAAUGCGUAGAUGUAUGGAAGAACACCAGUGGCGAAGGCGGCUCUCUGGUCUGCAACUGACGCUGAGGCUCGAAAGCAUGGGUAGCGAACAGGAUUAGAUACCCUGGU